AUUUCCGAUUUAAUUAAAGAAAAAGAAAAACAGAGAGAAAAAGAAAAGGAAAAUCGUCGGCGAUCCAUCUCGCUUCUGCCAUCCCAUCCCCGCCCGAGAUCCAUGCCGGCAGUCCACUCGCGGCCCCCCCCAAGAUCCACCCGCGCAAGUCACAGAUCGCGCCGGCCAUGGCCAUCGGCGGCGACGCGGCGAGCAUGGUGGCCGUCGGCCUCGUGUGGGGCACCACCAACGCCCUGAUGCGCCGGGGCGCGCUUGUCUGGGACCACCGCCUGCGCUCCCUUCCCGCCACCUCCUCCUCCGUCACCGGCGUGCUGCGGCGGUGGGCGGAGCUCCUCCUGACGUGGCAGUACUCGGCGCCGUUCGCCGUCAACCUCGCGGCAUCCGCCGCCUUCUUCAGCCUCCUUGGCGCCGCCCCGAUCUCCGUUGCCGUGCCCGUCACGAACGCCACCACCUUCGCCGCCACCGCUGUCGCCGCCGCCCUCCUCGGCGAGGGCACGCGCGCAGCGCCCGCAGCGCUCGGCACGGCGCUCAUCGUCCUCGGCGUCUGGGUCUGCAUCUCCUAGCACUUCAGGUUGUGAAAAGGGACCCUUUCUUGGGAAUUUCUGUACUUUCUUUUUGUUUCUCUUAAAAUGAUGGAAUAGUAUGUACUCAUGUUUGAUGAAAUUUUCUGUGCAAAGCUUUUGGAAAUGAUGAAUGAAUUAUGGUCGAAUUUAUUCAGCACAGUUGCUGUGCUUGGAAUUCUGGAGAUUGAGCAAACAAAAUGUGAGCCUGUCUCAGCAAGCGAUUCUUGGAAUUCCAUGAUCAGUGUAGAUGAAUCCUCUGAAGAAGAUCCGAGUAAGUGACAGGUUAUUGACAUUCUGCAGUUCACAACUCUGUUUGCCCCCCUGACUCGAGCUAGCUAACAUUGAUGCCAACUUGCCAAGUGUGCAUUCAUGUAUUUUCACAAACAUUUGAUGAUCUUCUCAAUGGCAUUCAUGUAUUUUCAGAAGUUUUCAAACUACACAAAAUGCAAAAUCCAAAGAGAGUGUAGCUUAACUCAGGAGAGGAAAAUUUCUACUCUAUGAUAGAAUCUUAUCAGCCAUUUAUGCUAGUCUAAUCAAUAGUUCAUUACUGAGGCUAACUAGUUGUAAGUUGUAACUUGCAAACACUGGUUUUGUGCACACAAUUAAUUGUCAUGAUUAAACUCUAAUGAGUGAUCUUGUGACUUGUGAGCAUGCCCAUUCUACUGUCUGAUGUGAAUCCCUAUCAAAGGAGCAUGGCCCAUCACCAUGAGAUUUUUUUCAGCACUUUGACAAGGAUAGCCAUAGACCAGUACAAGUGUACAACUGAAAUGUAAUAAGCUGGAGGGCUCACAUGCAUCUCCUGCCUCCAUCCUGGACACACCUUGCAGGAUGGAUGGCUAGGAUUGAUGAUCAGCAAGCACCUCCUCCAAUGGAUUAUGGAUGUCUCAUAAUCAGAGUCAAAGCAGAGGAGAAAUCACAAAUUCACAAUUCACAACUACCAGCAGGCAUGGGGAGACAGCAUGCAUGGUUGAUGGUCCUUGGCAGCUAUCACCCAAAAAUUCAGAGUGAGAUGUUUGCUGCUGCAUCUGCAAAUUCAAGUACAUGGGCUGAUGGGCACAUGGCUGCAUGAUCUGUAUAUCUGCAAGUACUUUGUGGAGUUUGUAGCACCACGGUUCAUAGCUUUGACCACAUCAAGGUGCUAGUUGCAGUGAAAGUUGUGAAGUGGAUGUUGCAGUUGAUUUGUGGAUGUUUUGCUACCAGGGCAGAGGAAGAGUAGAUACAGAAAAUAAAAUUACUCCCUCCAGAUAAAAAAUAAUUACGUUUGACUUUCUUCUUUCAUGUUCCUUAUAGUGUGACUUUGCGCACGGUUUAAUAAAAAAAUGUACAAAAUCUUUUUUAUACAGCAUAGGCUUGUCA